GCAUGGGUGGUUCAGUGGUAGAAUGCUUGCCUGCUACGCGGGCGGCCAUUGCAUCGGCCGGGUUCGAUUCCCGGCCGAUGCA